UCAGCCACACUGGGACUGAGACACGGCCCAGACUCCUACGGGAGGCAGCGUGGGGAAUUUUCCGCAAUGGGCGAAAGCCUGACGGAGCAACGCCGCGGAGGGACGAAGGCCUCUGGGCUGUAAACCUCUUUUCUCAAGGAAGAAGAUAUGACGGUACUUGAGGAAUAA
rnacentral:rRNA from 1 species